GGAGGUACCAGCUACUCGUGGAAUUGUCAAGGUGUGGCGCAAGUUGGCCCGCACACGAGAAAUUUGAAAUUGUCAUAGUUUCACUGAUGCAUCUGUUGUGUGCUCGCCAAUUAUUUUAGAGUACGCUUUCUACUUUUGAAAUCUCCCUGAACAUAAUUUUUUGGUAAUACACUUUCCUUUAUAUGCAAUAUGAUAGCUUUAUUUGUUAGAUAGACGUUCUUUAUUUGCUUAUUGUUUUUAUAUGAAUUCCAGUGUUUCAAAUGAUUUGUACUCUCUACCUCAUCUCUUGAUUUUUAGAGAAAUAGGUAAAAAGUUCCAUAGAAUUCUCCCCACUUACCGUUUAAUCAAUAGUGCCAUAGAACUCUCAAUUUUUGCAAACUGAAAUUCAUUCACCUAUGGUAGAGUGAGUGUUACUAUGUCAUGAUUAUGUAACUAGCAUUGCUUGCUGGCAGAUUACAUAAUGUGUGUGAUGCUUCUUUGGCUCGUGAUUUUUUAACUUUGUUGAGAAUAAUUUGAAGAGGAAAAAAAGGUAAAUGAAAGCAGCACUGCCUAAAAAGUUUCUUUUCCCUCUUUGGAACAUGCUUUGUGAGAAAAUGAACGCAGAAAUGACAUAUUCAGUUUUGAUUAAGCCCAAGAAGUGAACCUGGAAACUGUUUUUGUAAACCUGAUCAUCUACUUUAGGAUCCGGGGGAUAAUGGGUGCUGUACUGCUCUAGGAGCAUUACCUUUUCCACUGGGGCUAUACUACUGCUUAAAGAAUGGUAAAUUUCAGCAUUUGCAAAUUGCUAACUCUCACUUAUGCUAUUAUGUAGGCGAAGGGAGAUAAGGACAUAUGGUGAUGUGAAGUCUGUGCAUCAAGGUUUAGCUUUAUGGUAACAGUGUUGGACAGGAUUAGCAGCUUUGUGGUGAUAGACUAUUUAAUUGCCCUUCUUAUAGCCUGUUUGGCCAAGCUUUUUUCUAGUCCAAAAGUAUUUUUUUUCUAAAUUUGAGGUGUUUGGCCAAGCUUUCUGAGAAGCAGAAAAAGAAGCAAAAGCACUUUUUGAGAAGCAGAAAAAAAGUAGCUUCUCUCCAGAAGCAAAAAUAGUUUUGACUUUUCUUCUUACCAAAAAUACCCUUAGCAAAAUGUAGUAUAUUCCAAAGUAACCUUACUUAUUCUAAACCUAAUACUUAGGAUUUUAAUCUAUAAAUAUUUUUUCUUAUUUUUAGGGUAGCUUUCUAAUAUAUAGUGACUUCUGGGGUGAAUGCUUUUAUAUUUGUUGAAUA
rnacentral:lncRNA from 1 species